rnacentral:lncRNA from 1 species
CUGGGCAACAAGAAUGAAACUGUCUUAAAAUACAAACAAAAAAAUAGUUUUAUUGGCUCUAGCCAAGCUCAUUCAUUUACAUUAUCAUCUAUAGAUGCAUUUUUACUACAACAGCAGAGUUGAACAGUUGAAACAAGGACUGCAUGGCCUGUGUAAAGCCUAAAAUAUUUGCUAUCUGACCCUUUACAGAAAGUUUGCCAACCCCUGCUCCAGACAAGCACUAUCCAACAGAACUUUUUGCAGCGAUGGAAAUGUUCUAUAUCUGUGCUGUCCAAUGCAGAAGUCGCUAGCCACAUGUAGCUAUUUGAGCACUUGAAAUAUGGUCAACAGUGACUGAAUAACUGAAUCCUUAAUUUCAUAUAAUUGAGAUUUUCAUAACCACAAGUGGCUAGUGGCUACCAUAAUAGACAGUACAGCUCUAGACUCUUAAAUCUUCUGUACUGAUGUUUUUUUUUCUCCUUAUGCCACUAUCUCACUCCCUUCCUGUGACAUUCCUCUAUGGAUUCUCAGGAACUCCCCACCACCCCACUGUUCCACAGUCCCACUCACUAUAUACACAUCCAUUUUUCUGACCUCAAGCUAGGGUACACUUACUAGGUUGUCUCUCUGGACUCUCCAUUGUCACAAAUGAAGUCUGAAAAUGGAUCAGGUUAUCAGUUGUCACCCUAUGAAUUAAGCCACAUUAUGUACAUACACAUAAAUGGACAUUUACACAAGUUCAUUUGUGUCAGAGGAUGGCACUGAGGCUGUAUUCUUUCUUCUCUGCAUGAGAGAAGUAGAAAAGCCCUCCACAUGCUGGAUGCCUUGUUGCUGCUGGUGCCUGUGGUAUGGAUCACCUCCCUCCGAACACAUUCACAGAAGCUCCAGUUGCAUAUUUUGGAUGCUGAGGUGGGUUCUUGUAAACUUGUGAAGUUCUUGUAAACUGUCUUAUCUCAGCACACAAAAUGGUUGCAUAACCUGAUCUGUCACAGCUCCUGAUGUUUUUCUUUCGGCAUGCACACAGUCUAUCCAGGAGAAAAAAAUCAAUCCAGACACCUCUAUGCUCAGGCUGUUGUUCAAAUAAACUUUUUUCCUCCCUCCCUAGGCUCUUCACCUCCUGUCUUCUAGUUUUAUUUUGGUAUUAAGAGAGCCAGACAACUCCAGCAUAGAAUUCAAGGUGCUACUGCUUAGUAAACUAUUAGCUGCAUAGUGAACCCAGUAUGGCUUCAUUAAUAGUAGGGUCUGCAGGAAGCCAGAAAGAGACUCCCCCGACAUGCCCCCUGCCAAAGAAGUGGACAUUAGCAGUCCUUUCCCCUUUCUCCAGAGGUUGAACAGAAAAAGAGAAUACUACAUGUUUGCAUCACCGCAACAAGAAUCGGGUGGGUUUUCCCUGGGAAUCC